GAUGAAUGCUGGCGGCGUGCCUAACACAUGCAAGUCGAGCGGCAGCGCGAGUAGUUUACUACUUGGCGGCGAGCGGCGGACGGCUGAGUAACGCGUAGGAACGUGCCCCAAAGUGAGGAAUAACUGCCCGAAAGGGUAGCUAAUGCCGCAUAUGAUCUUCGGAUUAAAGUAUUUAUACGCUUUGGGAGCGGCCUGCGUCGGAUUAGGUAGUUGGUAGGGUAAUGGCCUACCAAGCCGACGAUCCGUAGCUGGUCUGAGAGGAUGAUCAGCCAGACUGGAACUGAGACACGGUCCAGACUCCUACGGGAGGCAGCAGUGAGGAAUCUUCCACAAUGGGCGAAAGCCUGAUGGAGCAACGCCGCGUGAAGGAUGAAGGCCCUCGGGUCGUAAACUUCUUUUAUAAGUGAAGAAUAUGACGGUAACUUAUGAAUAAGCACCGGCUAACUACGUGCCAGCCGCCGCCGUAA
rnacentral:rRNA from 1 species